GGAUCCUACCGUUGGUCAUGCCUCUGGUAUGUACUGGUCUCACUGAUUCCUCCUUCCUGAUGAGCCGUAAUGCCAUUAAUUUGGUGUUGCGGGGAAUUUGGACUGUUACUUUGAAAAAAUUAGAGUGUUUAAAGCAGGCUAACGCCUGAAUACAUUAGCAUGGAAUAAUGAAAUAGGACGUUCGAUCCUAUUUUGUUGGUUUCUAGGAUUGACGUA
rnacentral:rRNA from 1 species